GCUAACUCCGUGCCAGCAGCCGCGGUAAUACGGAGGGUGCGAGCGUUAAUCGGAAUUACUGGGCGUAAAGCGCGCGUAGGCGGUUCGAUAAGUCGGGUGUGAAAGCCCCGGGCUCAACCUGGGAAUUGCAUCCGAUACUGUUGGGCUAGAGUCUGGUAGAGGGAAGGGGAAUUCCGGGUGUAGCGGUGAAAUGCGUAGAUAUCCGGAGGAACACCGGUGGCGAAGGCGCCUUCCUGGAUCAAGACUGACGCUGAGGUGCGAAAGCGUGGGUAGCAAACAGGAUUAGAUACCCCAGUAGUC
rnacentral:rRNA from 1 species